AUCCAGACAUUAUCGACAUUUUAAGUACUCCAGAAAAUGCUGCUCAAAGCCAGACCUCAGUUUCCGAGACUGAAAUUUCUGAAGAAAAUAUUCAUCAUGAACAGCAGCCUUCUGCUGUCCACCCGUUUCAGAAAGAGAUGUUCACCUAUCUGGUAGAAGCAUUCAAAACAUCUAUGGGUUCAAGUAAAACCAGUGGUCCCAGACAGCAGUGGGCUAAACUCCUGGGCUCCUGCAAGGAGACCUUCCGAGUACAGCUUGGGAGGCUGCUGUUGCAUAUCUUGUCGCCAGCUCACCCCUCGCAAGAGAGAAAACAAAUUUUUGGAAUAGUUUGUGAACCAAAUCAUCAGGAAAUUCUACGAGACUCUUAGUCCAUCCCUGCAACGUCUGUCAGCUCCGAUUCUCCUGCAGGGAAGGCCGCUCCCUUCUUGGUUAUUUGGCUGCCCCGCAGU